rnacentral:rRNA from 1 species
GCGAACGUUAGCGGCGGGCCUAACUACAUGCAAGUCGAGCGAGAAAAGGGCCUUCGGCCCUGAGUAAGGUAAAGCGGCGGACGGGUGAGGUGAGUAAUACGUAGGUAAUCUUCCCUUGAGCGGGGGACAACGUUCCGAAAAGGGACGCUAAUACCGCAUAAGUUUCUCCGGUGUCUGCAACUGGGAGAAGGAAGCUAGGCAGCAAUGUCUGGCACUCGAGGAGGAGCCCUGCGUCGCAUCAGCUAGUUGUGGGUGGGGGUAACGGCCUACCAAGGCGAAGACGCGUAGCUGGUCUGAGAGGAUGAUCAGCCACACUGGGACUGAGACACGGCCCAGACUCCUACGGGAGGCAGCAGUGGGGAAUAUUGGACAAUGGGCGCAAGCCUGAUCCAGCCACGCCGCGUGAGUGAUGAAGGGCCCUUCGGGUCGUAAAGCUCUGUGGGGAGGGACGAACCGCUUGCUCGUUCAUAGCGGGCCAGCAUGACGGUACCUCCCUUAGCAUGCACCGGCUAACUUCGUGGCCAGCAGCCGCGGUAAUACGAAGGGUGCAAACGUUGCUCGGAAAUUAUUGGGCGUAAAGCGCACGUAGGCGGUUUUAGAAAGUCCCAUGUGAAAUCCCACAGCUUAACUGUGGAAGUGCAAUGGGAAACCUCUAGACUUGAGUACGAAAAAGAGGAUCGCAGGAUGAAUUCCGGUGUGUAGAGGUGAAUGAAAUUCGUAGAUAUCGGGAGGAACACCAGUGGCGAAGGCGGCGAUCUUGGGUCGAUACUGACGCUGAGGGUGCGAAAGCGUGGGGAGCAAACAGGAUUAGAUACCCUGGUAGUCCACGCCGUAAACGAUGAGUGCUAGAUGCUGCGGGUAUUGACCCCCGGCGGUGUCUGUCCGCAGCCAAACGCGGUUUAAGCACUCCGCCUGGGGGAGUACGGCCGCAAGGCUAAAACUCAAAGGAAUUGAACGGGGGCCCGCACAAGCGGUGGAGCAUGUGGUUCAAUUCGACGCAACGCGCAGAACCUUACCUGGGUUUUUAAAUCCACUAGAAUCUAACAGAGAUGUUUGGGGUGGCCCUUCGGGGAACUAGUGAGACGGGUGCUGCAUGGCUGUCGUCAGCUCGUUGUCGUGAGAAUGGUUGGGUUAAGUCCCGCAACGAGCGCAACCUCUGUCGUUAGUUGCCAGCCUUAAGUGGGGCACUCUAACGAGGACUGCCGACCCGUCAAGUCGGAGGAAGGUGGAGGAUGACGUCAAGUCCUCAUGGCCCUUAUGCCCAGGGCUACACACGUGCUACAAAUGGACAAGUACAAAGGGCUGCAAAAGCCGCAAGGUCAAGCCAAUCCCAAAAAAAACUGUCCUCAGUUCGGAUUGUAGUCUGCAACUCGACUACAUGAAGCUGGAAUACGCUAGUAAUCGCCGAUCAGCACGCCGGCGGUGAAUACGUUCCCGGGCCCUUGUACACACCGCCCGUCACACCAUGGGAGUCAGUUGCUCUAGAAGUCGGUGCGCCAACCUCGUGAGGCAGCCGCCUAAAGAGUGACUGGUGACUGGGGUG